GGGGGAAUAUUGGGCAAUGGGCGAAAGCCUGACCCAGCAACGCCGCGUGAAGGAAGAAGGUCUUCGGAUUGUAAACUUCUGUCAUUGGGGACGAAGGAAGUGACGGUACCCGAUGAGGAAGCCCCGGCUAACUACGUGCCAGCAGCCGCGGUAAUACGUAGGGGGCGAGCGUUGUCCGGAAUUACUGGGCGUAAAGGGUGCGUAGGCGGCGAUGCAAGUCCAUUGUGAAAAGCCCGGGCUUAACCUGGGAGGUGCAGUGGAAACUGUAUGGCUUGAGUGCAGGAGAGGAAAGUGGAAUUCCUAGUGUAGCGGUGAAAUGCGUAGAUAUUAGGAGGAACACCAGUGGCGAAGGCGGCUUUCUGGACUGUAACUGACGCUGAGGCACGAAAGCGUGGGAGCAAA
rnacentral:rRNA from 1 species